rnacentral:rRNA from 1 species
AUUGAACGCUGGCGGCAUGCUUUACACAUGCAAGUCGAACGGUAACAGGUUAAGCUGACGAGUGGCGAACGGGUGAGUAAUGCAUCGGAACGUGCCCGAUCGUGGGGGAUAACGCAGCGAAAGCUGCGCUAAUACCGCAUACGAUCUGAGGAUGAAAGCGGGGGACCGUAAGGCCUCGCGCGAUCGGAGCGGCCGAUGUCAGAUUAGGUAGUUGGUGGGGUAAAGGCCCACCAAGCCAACGGUCUGUAGCCGGUCUGAGAGGGCGACCGACAGCACUGGGACUGAGAAACGGCCCAGACUCCUACGGGAGGCAGCAGUGGGGAAUUUUGGACAAUGGGCGAAAGCCUGAUCCAGCAAUGCCGCGUGCAGGAAGAAGGCCUUCGGGUUGUAAACUGCUUUUGUACGGAGCGAAAAGGUCUCCUCUAAUACAGGGGGCUCAUGACGGUACCGUAAGAAUAAGCACCGGCUAACUACGUGCCAGCAGCCGCGGUAA